rnacentral:lncRNA from 1 species
AACACUAAUGAUUGAAGGCAAUACUGAGGUGACAAUGACUCAACAUACAUUUGGAUUGCAAGAUUGAGGUGGAGACUAACUUUAGUGCCAUAUAUUUUAUUCUGGUUGUUGAAUUUAUCUUUUCAUGUUUUUUGGUUGAAUUAGUGUCUUUUGUUUAUGUGAUAUGUUCAUGUUUUGUAUUGAUUUACUCAAUUUCGAAUGUUGAAUGUCCGGAGUAUCGACAUAUAUUUUCAAUGAUAUGUUUACAUAGUAUUUUUCGUGAAUUGAGAUGGAUAAUAUUGUUGUUUGUGUUUGAAA